rnacentral:rRNA from 1 species
AGUGGGAGAGGAUUCCCCAUAAACUGUGUUUCUUGAGAAAGGGAUGUUUUCAAGCCCCAGAACUGGGAAACUUGAAGACCCCCAGUUCCCAGAAUUUCUUUACGGGGAGGGCAAGCCAGUAAAGGAAUUUUUCCCCCAAAUGGGCCGAAAAGCCUUGAUGGGAGCAAACCCCCGCGUGCCAGGACGAAAGGCCUUUCGGGUUCGUAAAACUGCUUUUUAUUAGCGGAAGAAAUAUGGCCGGUAACUUAAUGAAUAAAGGGUUCGGCUAAAUUACGGUCCCAGCAGGCCGCGGGUCAUACGGUAGGACCCCAAGCGUUAUCCCGGAGUGACUGGGCGUAAAGAGUUGCGUAGGCGGCUUAGUAAGUGGAUAGUGAAACCUGGUGGCUCAACCCAUUCAGACUAUUAUCCAAACUGCUGAGCUUGAGAAUAGUAGAGGUACCUGGAAUUUCUCGUGUAGGAGUGAAAUCCGUAGAUAUGAGAAGGAACACCAAUGGCGUAGGCAGGGUACUGGGCUAUUUCUGACGCUAAGGCACGAAAGCGUGGGGAGCGAACCGGAUUAGAUACCCGGGUAGUCCACGCCGUAAACGAUGGAUGCUAGCUGUGGGGGGUAUCGACCCCUUCCGUAGCAAAGCUAACGCGUUAAGCAUCCCGCCUGUGGAGUACGGCCGCAAGGCUAAAACAUAAAGGAAUUGACGGGGACCCGCACAAGUAGUGGAGGAUGUUCUUUAAUUCGAUGCUAAGCGAAGAACCUUACCAGGGCUUGACAUCCUUGGGAGCUCUGCGAAAGCAGAGUGUGCCUUUUGGAACCAAGUGACAGGUGCUGCAUGGCCGUCGUCAGCUCGUGUCGUGAGAUGUUUGGUUAAGUCCAUCAACGAGCGCAACCCUUAUGAAUAGUUGGAUUUUUCUAUUCAGACUGCCCCGGUAGCGGGGAGGAAGGGGGGGAUGAUGUCAGGUCAGUAUUGCCCUUACGUCCUGGGCUAGAAACGUCCUACAAUGGCCGGUACAACGGGAAGCCAACCCGCGAGGGGGAGCAAAUCCCAUCAAAGCCGGUCCCAGUUCGGAUUGCAGGCUGAAACUCGCCUGCAUGAAGCCGGAAUUACUAGUAAUCGCAAGUCAGCACAUUGCGGUGAAUACGUUCCCGGGCCUUGUACACACCGCCCGUCAAACCAUGAAAGUGACCAACACCCGAAGUCCGAUUCGUCGGCCUAAGGUGGGGGGCAUGAUUGGGGUUAAGUCGUAACAAGGUAGCCGU